ensembl:lncRNA
GAUAUGAGAUUUGGAAUUGCGAUGGAUUGACAGAUGGUACAUGGGGCUGGGAUGUGGGAUUGGCAUUGGGAUUCGGGAUAGGGAUUGGGAUGCGGGAUACGGGAUUGGCAUGUGGGAUUGGGAAUGAGGCGUGGGAUUGGGAUUGGGAUUGGGGUUGGGAUGCAGGAAGUGGGUAUACGGGUACGGGACGGACUUGGCAAAGGUAUGGGAACGAUAUGGGGUGGAGUUGGGAUGGGAUAUGGAUAUGGGAUGGGAUUGGGAUGAUCAUAGGAUGGGAUAGGUAUAUGGAAUGGAUAUGGGGUGGACAUGGGAUGGAUGUGGGGAUAUGGAUUCAGGAAGGCUGUGGGAUGGAAAUGGAUAUGGAACAUGGGGUACAGGAUGGGGAUAGGAUAUGGGAUUUGGGGGUAUGGAUGUGGGGUGGAUUUAGGAUGGGGUAUGGGAUUGGAUAAGGGAUGGGACAUUGAUAUGGGAUGGAUAAGGAGAUGAGAUCGGUUUGGGAUGAGAUAUGGAUUUGAGAUGGAUUUGGGAUGGUUAUGGGAUGGAUGAGGUGAUGUGGAUAUAGAAAGAUUUGGCAUGGAGUUGGGAUGGGAUAUGGAUAGGGGAUGAGAUAUGGGAUGGGAUACGGAUAUGGGAUGGGCUAUGGAUAUGGGAUGGAUUUGUGAUAUGGAUAUGGGAUGGAUUUGGGCUAUGGGUGUGGGAUGGAUAUGAUGGUUUGGAUAUUGGAAGGGUUAUGGAUACAGGAUGGGAUAUGGGAUGGGAUAUGGAUAUGGGAUGGCUAUGAGAUGGGGCUGUAGUGGUUAUAGGGCCAUGGGGGCUAUGGGGCUGGGAUGCUGCAGUGUCCCCAAAGCACUCCCCGGUGUGACACACGGAGCCCCACAGCCGCUCCUCUUCCUGCUAUUCACGUAGGGGGGGCAUCCCCCAACCCCCCGUUAUCACGAAAUAAACCUUAAUCCCAAAAAUAAAGGGUGCCCCCCGCUCCCACCCCAUGGGAACAGUGCAGUCUGCAAUGGGGGGCGCACAG